rnacentral:rRNA from 1 species
UACGACGGGGGCUAGCGUUGUUCGGAAUUACUGGGCGUAAAGGGCGCGUAUGCGGUACUUCAAGUCAGGCGUGAAAGCCCCGGGCUCAACCUGGGAACCGCGCUUGAGACUGGAGAACUAGAGUUCGGGAGAGGAUGGUGGAAUUCCCAGUGUAGAGGUGAAAUUCGUAGAUAUUGGGAAGAACACCGAUGGCGAAGGCAGCCAUCUGGACCGACACUGACGCUGAGGCGCGAAAGCGUGGGGAGCAAACAGG